AUACGUAGGUGACAAGCGUUGUCCGGAUUUACUGGGCGUAAAGGGCGUGUAGGCGGUCUUGCAAGUCAGAAGUGAAAUUCCUGAGCUCAACUCGGGCGCUGCUUCUGAAACUGCAGGACUUGAGUGCUGGAGGGGAUAGCGGAAUUCCUAGUGGAGCGGUAAAAUGCGCAGAUAUUAGGAAGAACACCGGUGGCGAAGGCGGCUAUCUGGACAGUAACUGACGCUGAGGCGCGAAAGCGUGGGGAGCAAACAGGAUGAGAUACCCGGGUAGUCCACGCCGUAAACGAUGAAUACUAGGUGUAGGGGGUAUCGACUCCCUCUGUGCCGCAGUUAACACAAUAAGUAUUCCGCCUGGGGAGUACGGCCGCAAGGUUGAAACUCAAAUGAAUUGACGGGG
rnacentral:rRNA from 1 species